GGAGUUAGCCGGUGCUUCUUCUGUGAGUGAUGUCCUUCCUGCCGGCUAUUAACCCGCAGGCCUUCUUCCUCACUGAAAGUGCUUUACAACCCGAAGGCCUUCUUCACACACGCGGCAUGGCUGGAUCAGGGUUGCCCCCAUUGUCCAAUAUUCCCCACUGCUGCCUCCCGUAGGAGUCUGGGCCGUGUCUCAGUCCCAGUGUGGCUGAUCAUCCUCUCAGACCAGCUACGGAUCGUCGCCUUGGUGAGCCGUUACCUCACCAACCAGCUAAUCCGACAUAGGCUCAUCCGAUAGCGCGAGGCCCGAAGGUCCCCCGCUUUCCCCCGUAGGGCGUAUGCGGUAUUAGCCUGGGUUUCCCCAGGUUAUCCCCCACUACCGGGCAGAUUCCUAUGCAUUACUCACCCGUCCGCCGCUCGCCACCAGGGAGCAAGCUCCCCGUGCUGCCGCUCGACUUGCAUGUGUUAGGCCUGCCGCCAGCGUUCAUCUGACGCCAUAACUACAACUCUGA
rnacentral:rRNA from 1 species